rnacentral:rRNA from 1 species
AACGAACGCUGGCGGCAUGCCUAACACAUGCAAGUCGAACGAGACCUUCGGGACUAGUGGCGCACGGGUGCGUAACGCCUGGGAACCUGCCCUUAGGUUCGGAAUAACUCCCCGAAAGGGGUGCUAAUACCGGAUAAUGUCUUCGGACCAAAGAUUUAUCGCCUUUGGAUGGGCCCGCGUUGGAUUAGCUAGUUGGUAGGGUAAAAGCCUACCAAGGCGACGAUCCAUAGCUGGUCUGAGAGGAUGAUCAGCCACACUGGGACUGAGACACGGCCCAGACUCCUACGGGAGGCAGCAGAGGGGAAUAUUGGACAAUGGGCGAAAGCCUGAUCCAGCAAUGCCGCGUGAGUGAUGAAGGCCUUAGGGUUGUAAAGCUCUUUUACCCGGGAUGAUAAUGACAGUACCGGGAGAAUAAGCUCCGGCUAACUCCGUG